CCCGACAACGAAAAAAUCAUGGAUCUCAAGUGGGAAUUUAUGAUCAAGAAAUAUGCCGAAGGGUCCGUGAAGCACAAUGCAAGGCUAGUGGCCAAAGCGUACGUGCAAGAGGAAAGUGUGGACUUCGAAAAAGUGUUCGUUCCCAUUGCAGAGAUGGAAUCAGUGGAAUUAUUCAUCGCUCUCGUGGUUCAGGAAUCAUGGACGAUACAUCACAUGGAUAUAAAAUCCGCAUUUUUAAAUGGCGAGUUAGAAGGAGAGGUUUAUGUGAACCAACCAUCGAGGUUCAUCAAAGAGGGACAAGAGCACAAGGUACUGAAGCUACACAAAGUCUUGUACGGGCUACGGCAAGGCUCUCGGGCAUGGAACAUCAAACUUGAUCAGACGAUGAUUUCUCUUGGAUUUGAGAAAGCCCCACUAGAGUAUGCGAUAUACAAGAGAGGAGAAGGAAAGGGCCGU
rnacentral:rRNA from 1 species